AACGAACGCUGGCGGCAGGCCUAACACAUGCAAGUCGAACGCCGUAGCAAUACGGAGUGGCAGACGGGUGAGUAACGCGUGGGAACAUACCCUUUGGUUCGGGAUAACUCAGGGAAACGUUAGAGCUAAUACCGGAUACGUUCGCGAGAAGAAAGAUUUAUCGCCGAAGGAUUGCCCGCGUCUGAUUAGCUUGUUGGUGUGGUAACGGCGCACCAAGGCGACGAUCAGUAGCNGGUCUGAGAGGAUGAUCAGCCA
rnacentral:rRNA from 1 species